CAAGACCUGUGUCCCACCCUGGAGACUGCCUUGUCUUUCGUGAGGCUAUUGGGCAGAAAGAGAUAUCUUGGGGGAUGUAUGCACAGAUGAAGAAAGAGAAGAAAGAAUCAUAGAAAAAAGAAACACUAUGCAAGGAUAAAUCACACAGCUGUUAUGAAAGAAGAGCUCUCUUGCAGAUGCUGCUGCCGAUGGGAAAAAAAAAAAGGUAGAUGGUGCCACCGAUGAAAUAUUUAAGGCAACUGGAUGUUAAAAUGGCGAGUUGUAAUGAGACUCAGAUUAAGAAGAGGAGCAGCCUAGCUAGACCAUUAAACUCGCCAUUAAAUCUCAGCGAACCCUUCAAGAAGCCUAAGUCAUGUUCUAAUAUGCUAUAUGCUAUUGCUGAUGACUCCAGUGGGAAAAAAAAACCUGAAAUAGAUUCUAUUUUACCAAAAAGAAUACUAGAAACAGAAGACUGGGCAACACUGCAUAGCUAUUAG
rnacentral:lncRNA from 1 species